rnacentral:rRNA from 1 species
GAUGAACGCUAGCGACAGGCUUAACACAUGCAAGUCGAGGGGCAGCAUAGAAGUAGCAAUACUUUGGUGGCGACCGGCGCACGGGUGAGUAACGCGUAUGCAACCUACCUAUCAGAGGGGAAUAACCCGGCGAAAGUCGGACUAAUACCGCAUAAAACAGGGGCACCGCAUGGUGAUAUUUGUUAAAGAAAUUCGCUGAUAGAUGGGCAUGCGUUCCAUUAGGUAGUUGGUGAGGUAACGGCUCACCAAGCCGACGAUGGAUAGGGGAACUGAGAGGUUGGUCCCCCACGCUGGUACUGAGACACGGACCAGACUCCUACGGGAGGCAGCAGUGAGGAAUAUUGGUCAAUGGGCGGGAGCCUGAACCAGCCAAGUCGCGUGAAGGAAGAAGGAUCUAUGGUUCGUAAACUUCUUUUGCAGGGGAAUAAAGUGCGGGACGUGUCCUGUUUUGUAUGUACCCUGAGAAUAAGGAUCGGCUAACUCCGUGCCAGCAGCCGCGGUAAAAC